AGAGCAUUGACUGCAACCUUUCCAGCUGAGGUCAUGUUGAAGACGACCUGCAGCCGAGGACCUCCACCUGACGACUCCGCCCCCUGCAGGUGAACUCCCCUCAGACUCCGGCCCCUGCAGGUGAACUCUCCUCAGACUCCGCCCCUGCAGGUGAACUCUCCUCAGACUCCGCCCCUGCAGGUGAACUCCCCUCA